UAGGGAAUCUUCGGCAAUGGACGGAAGUCUGACCGAGCAACGCCGCGUGAGUGAAGAAGGUUUUCGGAUCGUAAAGCUCUGUUGUAAGAGAAGAACGAGUGUGAGAGUGGAAAGUUCACACUGUGACGGUAUCUUACCAGAAAGGGACGGCUAACUACGUGCCAGCAGCCGCGGUAAUACGUAGGUCCCGAGCGUUGUCCGGAUUUAUUGGGCGUAAAGCGAGCGCAGGCGGUUAGAUAAGUCUGAAGUUAAAGGCUGUGGCUUAACCAUAGUACGCUUUGGAAACUGUUUAACUUGAGUGCAAGAGGGGAGAGUGGAAUUCCAUGUGUAGCGGUGAAAUGCGUAGAUAUAUGGAGGAACACCGGUGGCGAAAGCGGCUCUCUGGCUUGUAACUGACGCUGAGGCUCGAAAGCGUGGGGAGCAAACAGGAUUAGAUACCCUGGUAGUCCACGCCGUANNGAUGAGUGCUAGGUGUUAGACCCUUUCCGGGGUUUAGUGCCGCAGCUAACGCANUAAGCACUCCGCCUGGGGAGUACNACCGCAAGGNU
rnacentral:rRNA from 1 species